GUAGACCUUUUUUUUACAAAAAAGCAUUUUAAAUUGUUGUGAAUUGGUCAAAAGGAGUUGAAACAUUGUCUGCAGUAUUCAUUACCCAGUCGGUUUUGUAAAGCAGAUUUUUCUGUUUAAUUUGUUGAUACAUAGGGAUCCAGAGUUUUAUCUAACUGAUCUUGGAGAACACUAUGACCCUCUGCAGGACAAAGUGGUGGCUGAAGACAUCCUGAAGUUGACUUCACUGGCUUUAAUCCUCCACACGCGCAGAGUACUGCUGUUCCUGGAGCUGCUGUGUUAUUGCUCUGUCCAAUACGCGGUUUACGGAUGGCUUGUCUUUGAUGCCACCCCGAUCUUGCCACAUAUUAAUACAAUCUGUGCAAAAUAAUUACAUUAAAAUAUACUUUGGGAUAGUCUUA